rnacentral:rRNA from 1 species
CUCUUAGAUGUUCUGGGCCGCACGCGCGCUACACUGAUGCAUUCAACGAGUCUAAACCUGCUCUGAUAGGGGUGGGUAAUCUUUUGAAUGUGCAUCGUGAUUGGGAUAGAUGAUUGCAAUUUUUCAUCUUCAACGAGGAAUGCCUAGUAAACGCAAGUCAUCAGCUUGCAUUGAUUACGUCCCUGCCCUUUGUACACACCGCCCGUCGCUCCUACCGAUUGAAUGAUCCGAUGAAUAUCAUGGAUUGAGGAUGCAAGCAGGUUCGCCUGUCUUCGUCUUCGAGAAGUGAAGUAAAUCUUAUCAUUUAGAGGAAGGAGAAGUCGUAACA